rnacentral:rRNA from 1 species
CCUACGGGAGGCAGCAGUGAGGAAUAUUGGACAAUGGGUGCAAGCCUGAUCCAGCCAUCCCGCGUGAAGGAUGACGGCCCUAUGGGUUGUAAACUACUUUUAUCUGGGGAUAAACCUACUUACGUGUAAGUAGCUGAAGGUACCAGAUGAAUAAGCACCGGCUAACUCCGUGCCAGCAGCCGCGGUAAU